rnacentral:rRNA from 1 species
UUAUCGGAGAGUUUGAUCCUGGCUCAGGACGAACGCUGGCGGCGUGCCUAAUACAUGCAAGUCGAGCGGACAGAUGGGAGCUUGCUCCCUGAUGUUAGCGGCGGACGGGUGAGUAACACGUGGGUAACCUGCCUGUAAGACUGGGAUAACUCCGGGAAACCGGGGCUAAUACCGGAUGCUUGUUUGAACCGCAUGGUUCAGACAUAAAAGGUGGCUUCGGCUACCACUUACAGAUGGACCCGCGGCGCAUUAGCUAGUUGGUGAGGUAACGGCUCACCAAGGCGACGAUGCGUAGCCGACCUGAGAGGGUGAUCGGCCACACUGGGACUGAGACACGGCCACGC